GUCCCUGUAGCGCAAUGCAUAGCGCGUUGGAUUUGUCUAAUCAAAGGUUGCGGGUUCGAUUCCCACCUGGGAUG